CAGGAUCGUCGAAAGACGUCUCCUUACACCAUUGUGAACUUACCUAUUUGUCGUGCUUCGGUAGGCGGCCUCCAUUCGUGGAGAUCCCCUCGGCCUUCGGGUGCCUGCCGAAGUGCAAUCUUAUACUACCUGGCGUUUUUGUAGAAUCAGAAAACUAAGUAAAUUAUAA
rnacentral:misc_RNA from 1 species